CCCAAUCAAGCAUUGAAAUACAUUCAGGUGAUACGGCAGUCUGUGUGUACCAGACGGGGCCAGGUGUUUUCAGCCUUACCACCAUGGCAGGUGUUGUGAUUAGACGUUUGGUUGGUCGAUCUGAAGUGAAACAUGUCGCUGAGCUGGCUAAACAAGAAGGCUGGACCAUUUCACUCCCAUAUCUGCUCAAAUGUUUUGAUAUCGAUCACUCGGAUUGGUGGGUAGCAGAAGAGAAAGAUGGAAAGAUCGUUGGUAGCGCCAAAAUGUUCUCCCAAGAGGACAACACAACCUGUCACGGUGGAAUGUAUAUUCUCGAUGAGCAAUACAGAGGUCAAGGGAUCGGUGGGAAACUGAGAAGUGCAGUAUUAACAGGAGUUCUAGAGAAAAAUGUCUUUCGUCACCGCACUUAAACCUGAGCGAAAUCUUAACAUUUUCAAGCCUUUAUAUGAAAUUCACAGCCUGAUGAUGACAAAAUCCAACCAAAA